rnacentral:lncRNA from 1 species
UUAAAUAUAAAUACUGAUAUACUGAAAAGGUUUAAUAUUUCACCCCAGUUCCCUCUGGGCCCUUCAUAUCUAAAAGGAGUUUAGGGUUUCCUCUCUUAACUCGCAUUGUUUACCAUCAGAGACACAAUUACCUCUCGGCCAAGAAGAAAACCCAUCUCAUUUUUGAAUAAAGGAGGAGAUUUAAAAGAGGUAGCAGAGGUCUAUGUCCCAGAAGUUGAAGUUUGAGUAACAUUAAGGUACAAUCGUUUUUUUUUUGUGUUGGUUUGAUUCAGUUUCUUUUUGGGUCAAUUUGACUUUUCUCUUGCACAUCAUUAUUCAUGAAAAACUCACAUUUCCCGUUAAUUCCAAUUUCUGUGCUACCGAAGCAACAAAAUAAACAAAUUCCGACAAUUUCAGUUCUUGCUGACUUUUUAUUUCUAGGGUUUGGUUGAUUCUCGCAGAUAUAGUUGCAUCGAGGUGAGCUGAAGUCACUCCUUUCUAACUUAGGGUUUCGUUAUUACACCGUUUUUGCAUUUUGUCAAACUUUUUGGCUCUCUAAACAUCUAUGGCUUUGUUGCCCUUGAAGUUUUUGGCUCUGUUCAUUUCUGCUUAUAGAACAGGGGGCCGGCCGCGACCAGUGCCACUUUUCUUCAAUUUGAGAAAAUUUCCCUGGUUGAGGUUAAGUUAAAACUAGUCCUUGUUCUCAUGGUUAUCGUUUAUGUUCUGCUUUUAAUGAUGAAUUUUAUUUAGCCACUGAAUUGUGUAUGUAUUGUUACUACAUCUAAUUAGUUGUUUUCUUACAUUUUUAUUUCUAUCAAUUCUUUGUUCUGCUUUUCUUUUGUUUAUUUCAAUUCUUGGUUUUGCUUCUCUUUCUGCUCUCGCUGUGCACAUGCUUGUGUUUUUAUUUUUGACCUUGUAUCUUUUUUCUUGGUAUUUGGUUCUUUGAUUGGUUUUGGGAGGAAGAAAGAGUAGAAGCAAUAUGAAAAAUUGAAGUACUCUGUUCUGGUUUCCUCUUUGAAUAGAAUGUAAUCUAUAUGCAUAAGAGGAAGACAGGACAUAAUGCGGAACAUAAUUUAUAUCCUUAAUAUUAAUGUGGCGAGACAAACAAUGCAGAACGUAUUUAUAUCCGGUUUUAUCAUGGAGCAAAGGGAGGAGCAUGAUUCUAAAAAUUCAAGAAAAUGCAAUACUACACUUCUUAGCUUACUAUUUUAAUGUCUUUAGUCUUAUCUUUAUAUCAGCUUCUUUAUCUAAAAUAGUUUUAUUAAGCAUCUAAAGAUGGACUUCUGGUCAUUCGUUAACCUUCUCCAUAAAUGAUGAAGAGAGAAAAGCGUGUCUAAUUUUAAAAUGAGAAAGGAGCUAUGUAUAUGCUAAGGAUUUUUAAGAACUAAAAGAGUUUAAGAUUGACACAAUUUAUGCUUUUCUUGUUUGUACCGAACUACAAGUAACCAAUAACUAUGUUCAGCAAUGUAAGCACAGCUAUACUGGGUUGUAAAGAUAUACCAUCCACAUUAAACACUUAUCUGAUGCAAGUAUAACUAUAAUAUUACAGAUUGGUGGUUUUAGAUCAAGAUACUAUACAUUCAUUGUAAGCAUGCUUUCUUAUUUUUCUUCGGUUAUGGCUCACUUUAUGUGAUGACUCAAAAUGUCAUCAUUUGAUUUACAAGUAAAUUCUGUAUUUCGAGACUUUAAAAGCCUCUUUUUAUUUUAUCCCGAUUUGCGUGCACGGUUUGGGCGUAUAUCCGGAACGCUUUUAUGUGAAAAUAUGAUGAAAAUGCUAAUUUGGCCUUUAAAAUUGAAUUUAAGUUGACUUCGGUCAAUAUUUUGGGUACACGGAUCUGAACCCGUGAUUUGACGGUCCCGGAGAGUCCGUAGAAAAAUAUGGGACUUGGACGUAUGUCCGGAAUUGAAUUUCGAGGUCCCAAGUUCGAAAAAUGAAUUUUUGAAGAAAAUUGUUUAACUGAAAUUAUAAGAGUUUUUGGAAAUUUAAAUGUGUUUGAAUUUGACGGUAUGGGCCCAUAUUUUGGUUCCGGAGCCCGAUAUAGGUCUUAUAUGGUAUUUAAGUCAAGCCUGUAGAAUUAGGUAAGAAACGAACUUGAUAUGAUGUGAAUCGGACCCUCGGUUGUUAAAAUUGGAACUAAAGAGUUCUUGAGAUUCUUUUUUGAUUUUGAUACUAAAUUCGUUGUUAAAGGUGUUAAAUUUGACGAUUUGAUCGCACGAAUAAGUCCAUAUGAUGUUUUUGAGUUAGUGUGCAUGUUUGGUUUGGAGCUACGAGGGCUCGCUUGAGUUUUGGAUAGGCUGUGGGAUGUUUUUACACUUAGGAAAAAUUGCAGGUUUGCUGUUUCUAGUGUGCUGGUGUUUUGUUCUUCGCGUUCGCGAAGGGACUCUCGCGAACGCGAAGGGUAAGUUAGUCUGAAGGAAAAUUCCUUAUACGCGAACGCGAAACACAGGUCGCGAACACGAAGCCUUGUGGGUGUUACUCUUCGCGAACGCGAAGGCCUUUUGGUCGGGGAUUGGGGGAAGGGAUUUUGUUCUACGCGAACGCGGCCAUUUGAUCGCGAAUGCGAAGGCCAUUUGGGCCUGACCCAUUGCGAACGCGAUGAAGGCCCGCCCAGUCAUUUUAAAACAGAUUUCAAAACGGGCAAAACUCAUUUUCUCCAUAUUUUCGAACUCCCAAGGCCUAGAGGCGAUUUUCUUCACACAAAUUCAUUCCCAAAGUGUUGGUAAUCAAUUUUAAACUUUUACUCUUUCAAUUACCCAAUGUUUUUCAUCAUUUUUAAUCAAAAAUCAAGAGUUUUCAUGGUAGAAAUUAGGAAUUUGGGUAAAGUUAGUGCUUUUUGAAUAAUUGAAAUUUAGACCUCGUUUAAGGGUCGAAUUUCGAAACUAAUUGCAUAUUUGGGCUCGUGGGUAAAUGAGUGAUCGGGUUUUGGUCUGAACCUUGAGUUUUAAUCAAGCGGGCCUGGGGUCGAUUUUUGACUUUUUGAGAAGAAUGAUAGAAACCUAUAAUUUGGCAUUGGGGUUGAAUUCUUUAGCAUUUAUUGAUGUUAAACUAAUUUGGGCUAGAUACGAGCAAAUUGGAGGCGAAUUCUAAAGGAAAAGCGGUGUUUGAGACUUGAGUUGGCCGUGAAAAUUCGAGGUAAGUAUUUUGGUCUAACCUUAGCUUGAGGGAAUAUGUAUUGUGCUUUAAUUGCUAUGUGCUAGUGUAGUAUACGAUGUAUAAGUGUGGUGACGAGUAUCUAUACGUCGUUGUCAAGUAUGCUCGUGAAUCUUAAAUUGUAAUCGUUGUGUUUCUUAAUAAGUAUUACAAAUGCCCAAGUGGUUGAUUCUCCGUGUUGGGCAAGAAUUAUGAUUAUUCUCUUGGUAAUUGUUUACGGUUGAGUAUUGGUUCCAGUUGAGGUUUUAUUUGUGAAGUUAAAUGUUGGUACAAGUUUGGUUAUAGCUGAUUCCCUUGUCGGGACGUAUUUCAUUCUUAUUGUUGGUUCUCUUAUCGGAAUGUGUUUAUUCUCAUUGUUGAUUCCCUUGUCGGGAUAUUGUUGUUCCUUAUUGUUCCCUUUUCGAGAUUCUUUUGUGAUUGAUGUUGAGUUGUAUAUUAGGAUUGGGUUGUACGCCACAACAAUACUAUAUAAGAUCGGGUUGCACGCCGCAACAUGGAGCAAUAAGGGAGGACAAGAGGGGUCGGGUUGCACGCCGCAACAGUGAGAUAUGAUUGGAUCGGGUUGCACGCUGUAACAGUGAUAUAUGAUUUGGAUCGGGUUCCGCGCCGCAACAAUAAAGAAUAGAAAUGGAUAUUGAUUUGUUACUAUUUCUUUGUUCUUACUGAUGCGAACUUUAAAAUGUUUUUUACGCUUUUCUACUGAGUUACUGUUGGUACAUGAUAUUUCCCCGCAGUAUGUUUCCCUUUCCAUCUUUACCUGCUAGUUUUUGUUAUUAUUACUUGUCGUAUAUGCUUUAACUGCACAAGUUUAUUUGGUAGUCUUGUCCUAGUCUCGUCACUGCUUUGUUGAGAUAGGCUCGACACUUACUAGCACAUAUGGUCGGUUGUGCUGAUAUUACACCCUGCACUGUGUGCAGAUCUCGAUACCGGAGCUUUUGGACCUUAGAGUGGUUGCUGCCUUCAGUCUAGCGGAGACCCGAGGUAGCCCUAUAGAUGUUCACAUGCCUUGGCGUCCCCUUUAUCCUUAUAUUCUGUUUUCAUUUACUUGAGAGACAGAUUGUAUCUUUCUUUCCAAACAAUUGUUUGUAGUAUUCGUAGAUGGUCCGUGAUAUUGUGACACCAGUUCUAAGUAGAGAUAUAUUUUGUAUUUUUCGUACUAUUAUUUGGCUAAGUUAUCAGAUUUCGUCUUUCGCAUUUCUUUAAUUAUUAUUAUUAUUCCGCUGUUGAUUGCAUGUUGAUUUAAAAUUGUUAAAAGGUUAAGAAAAAAAGUAAUAAGAUAUAUAAUAUCUUUAGGUUGUUUAGGUUUCACAAUUCACGGACACGUUUGGUAGAGUCUGAGGGAUCGGUACGGAGAUGUUUGUGCUUAUCCCCAGAGGCUAUAUAGUUAGGAACAGUUUCACUUCUAUUCAUCUCUUUCGUGUGGUUUGGUUUCUCAAUGCUAAUUGAAUUUCUACUCUAUUCUUUCGAGAUGACGAGAACACACGCUUCUUCAUCCACUGACCAGUAGCUCGAGCCCCUAGCGGCAGUUUCCACGAGGGGCAGAGAACGAGGUCCAGGUCGUGCUAGGGGCCGAGGAAGGGGCAGAGCUUAACCUAGUGC